ACAAUGAGCAGUGUAUGCUAUUUGCACCCCUGGUACAAUUAGCAGUGUAUGCUAUUCGUACCCUGGUGCAAUUAGAAAUGAAUGCUAUUCGUACCCCGCCGGUGCACACAGCAAUGUGUUCUAUUAAUACCCCGUCUGGUACAAAUAUCAAUGUAUGCUAUUUGCACCCCUGUGCAUUUACAGUACCUUGGCAUAUAUUUACACACAGUUAUCC